rnacentral:rRNA from 1 species
AUUGAACGCUGGCGGCAGGCCUAACACAUGCAAGUCGAACGCGUGGCGGACGGGUGAGUAAUGUCUGGGAAACUGCCCUAUGGAGGGGGAUACCUCCUGGAACCGGUAGCUAAUACCGCAUACCAUUGGAUGUGCCCAGAUUGUAUUAGCUAGUAGGUUGGGUAACGGCUCACCUAGGCGACGAUCCCUAGCUGGUCUGAGAGGAUGACCAGCCACACUGGAACUGAGACACGGUCCAGACUCCUACGGGAGGCAGCAGUGGGGAAUAUUGCACAAUGGGCGCAAGCCUGAUGCAGCCAUGCCGCGUGUAUGAAGAAGGCCUUCGGGUUGUAAAGUACUUUCAGCGAGGAGGCGUUACUCGCAGAAGAAGCACCGGCUAACUCCGUGCCAGCAGCCGCGGUAAUAC